GCUAUUGGAGUUCGAUUAAGCCAUGCGAGUCGAGAGUCUUAGGGACUCGGCGUACCGCUCAGUAACACGUGGGUAACCUGCCCUAUGCUGGGGAAUAACCUCGGGAAACUGAGAAUAAUGCCCCAUAGUCCACAAUGCCUGGAACGGUUUGUGGAUCAAAGCUCCGGCGGCAUAGGAUGGGCCUGCGGCGUAUCAGGUUGUAGGGGGUGUAACGUACCCUCUAGCCAUCAACGCGUACGGGUGUUGGGAGACAUAGCCCGGAGAUGGAUUCUGAGACACGAAUCCAGACCCUACGGGGUGCAGCAGGCGCGAAAACUUGGCAAUGCGAGAAAUCGUGACCAGGGAACUCCAAGUGGCUGGGGUAAGACCCAGUCUUUUCUUGACUCUUCAAAGGUCUUGGAAUAAGGGGUGGGUAAGGACGGUGCCAGCCGCCGCGGUAAUACCGGCGCCUCAAGUGGUAGUCGAUUUUAUUGGGCCUAAAACGUCCGUAGCCUGUUUGGUACAUUCGUGGGUAAAUCAACCAGCUCAACUGGUUGAAUUCUGCGAGCACGGCCAGACUUGGGACCGGGAGAGGUGUGGGGUACGCUCAGGGUAGGGGUAAAAUCCUGUCAUCCUGAGCGGACCACCUGUUGCGAAGGCGCCACACUAGAACGGAUCCGACGGUCAGGGACGAAGCCUAGGGGCACGAACCGGAUUAGAUACCCGGGUAGUCCUAGGUGUAAACGCUGUGGACUUGGUGUUGGGGACUCUCCGAGAAUCCUCAGUGCCGAAGCGAAGGUGAUAAGUCCACUGCCUGGGGAGUACGGUCGCAAGGCUGAAACUUAAAGGAAUUGGCGGGGGAGCACCGC
rnacentral:rRNA from 1 species